GUCCCUGUGCCUCCCCGGCCAGCCCAGUGUGGCCACAAGGGUUUGUUGUUUUGCGCUCUCUCUUGUCUGUCUGCCUGGGCGGAGCUCAGGUUAGGCUCCCGCCCUUGGCCUACGCACCUGCAGCUGAUCACAGGUGAUUUGCAGUUUGAUCUCUGGCUCUUCUUAAGGCAGGAGCUCUGAGCUACUCGUCACUGGAAUAUUGAGCAACUCUCAUUAGUAUUGCUCGGCUCUACAGCAAUUCUGUUGUUCCCGUGCUUGCCUUGGAUUAAUCCUCGUCUCUGUAAAUAGGUUUAUCUGGAUCUGCCCUCAUUGUGACCGCUGGACCCCAUGAGUGAGAGUGGAGUUGCUUGUGUGGACGAGGAGCGGAGCGAGUGCGAAGGCGUGUGUUUCCCUAACCUGUGGACCCCCGGGACCCUGGUGUCACUCCCAACAACAAAACAAAAAUCAAGCUCAAAACAACGUCUGUGGACCAGGACUUAUUCAAAAAUACAGUAAUUAAUAUUUCUAAAAGUUAACUUACUGAUGGACUAUCUCUGUUAUCAAAAGCACUAUCAUUUUACCAAGUAGUGCUGUAAGUGUCUUUGGUUUAAAGAUGGACCUCUUUAGAAAUAAUGGCCUCUUCAGACUAACAGUUCUAACUGGCUGCCUCGACCAGAUUCACCAUUUCAUGAAAGGAUUAACUAACCGUUUAUGAAUUCUUAAUUCUAAUAAUUCUAUUUUUUGUAUGUUUGUUACACUUAAACAUUUCUGAUCACUGAACUAAUUUAAAUAUUAGACAAAAAAUCCAAACCUACACAGCCCUGUGUGAAAAAGUGAAGCAGGUCUUUGGAAAGCUGAGUUCAGUUUUCUAGCCACAGCCAGGCUUGAUUAAUACCACAUCUGCUCUCAAUCAAGAAAUAAUUUAAACAGGACCUGCCUGACAAAAUGGAGAAGACCAAAAGAUGCUCAAAACCCAGAAAUCAUGACGCGAUCCAAGGAACAAAUGAGAAACAAAGCAAUUGAGAUCUCAGUCUGGAAAAGGUUAAUGAACCAUUUCUGUGAGACUCCAGCGAAUCACAGUGACAGCCAUUAUCCACAAAACAUGGUACAGGGCGAACCUUUCAAGGAGUAACCGGCUGACCAAAAUGACCCAAAGAGCACAGCGAUGACUCAUUCAAGAGGUCACAAAAGACCUAAGAACAACAUCCAAACAACUGCAGGCCUCACUAACCUCAGUUAAGGUCGGUGUUCAUGACUCCACCAUAUGAAAGAGACUGGGCAAACUGGCCUGCCUGGCAGAGUUCAAAGAUGAAAACCACUGCUGAGCAAAAGGAACAUAAAGGUUCGUCUCAGGUUUGCCAGAAAGCAUGUUGCUGAUCUCCAAGGCUUUUAGGAAAAAAAUCUGUUGAUUUAUACCAACUGUAAAAUAUGGUGGUGGUAGUGUGAUGGUCUGGUGCUGUUUUGCUGCCUCUGAAUGACUUAUGAAAAACAAAAUUAAUCAAUCAAUGUUCAUGUUCAAA